rnacentral:lncRNA from 1 species
CAGGGUAAUUAAAUUAUCCUUGAGGUAUGUCUAUGUUUCUCAUACUUUUAGAUUUAAUUUUGAAAUUAAAAUAUCAGAUAAUAAUAUUAGAUCUAAUAUACAUUAGAUCUAAAAUAGCGUAAGAUAAAAAUUUAAAAUUUAUUCUGCCCCAGAUUUGAUGAAAUCUGGAAGAUCUUACACAAGAAAAAGGCGGUUUUCCCUUCACUAGCUCCCUUACGGAACCAUUGCAUGAUGGAUGAUUGUUCUCAACAACCUGAGAAUAGGAGCAGGGCAAGGGCUUCUUCAAGAAUCUUGUUGCUGAAAUCUGAUUUCAGCACAACCAAAAUGAAGAGACUAUGGAGCAUGGAGGAAAGGGAAGA